CAAGUCGGACGUCCCGCAAGGGACGUGGCGCAAGGGUGAGUAAGGCGACGGUAACCAACCGAAGGGACGGGCAUAGUCAGGGGAAACCCUGGGUAAUUCCCGGCGACGUCGCGGCCUGGCAUCGGGCUGCGACCAAAGGUGCGAUUCCGCCCUUUGACGGGCCGUCGUGGUAUCAGGUUGUUGGUGGGGUGACGGCCCACCAAGCCGAGGACGCCUACCGGGCGUGCGAGCGUGGCCCGGCACACUGGGACUGAGACACUGCCCAGACUCCUACGGGAGGCUGCAGUCGAGAAUCUUCGGCAAUGGGCGCAAGCCUGACCGAGCGACGCCGCGUGGAGGACUAAGGCCUUCGGGUUGUAAACUCCUGUCGAGGGGGAACAAGGGGGCGUGAAGAACGUCUCUUGAGUGAUCCCUGGAGGAAGCACGGGCUAAGUUCGUGCCAGCAGCCGCGGUAAGACGAACCGUGCGAACGUUAUUCGGAAUCACUGGGCUUAAAGCGCGUGUAGGCGGGCCGGCACGUCGAUGGCUGAAAUCCCCCGGCUCAACCGGGGAAGUGGCCUCGAUACGACCGGCCUGGAGGGGGGUAGGGGGCGCCGGAACUUCCGGUGGAGCGGUGAAAUGCGUUGAGAUCGGAAGGAACGCCCGUGGCGAAAGCGGGCGCCUGGACCCCACCUGACGCUGAGACGCGAAAGCCAGGGGAGCGAACGGGAUUAGAUACCCCGGUAGUCCUGGCCGUAAACCAUGAGCACUGGGUAGGGGGCUCGCCGAUGGGCUCCCUGCCGGAGCGAAAGCGUGAAGUGCUCCGCCUGGGGAGUAUGGUGCGAAGGCUGAAACUCAAAGGAAUUGACGGGGGCUCACACAAGCAGU
rnacentral:rRNA from 1 species